rnacentral:snRNA from 1 species
AGCUUUGCACAGUGGCAGUAUCAUAGCCAAUAAGGUUUAUCCGAGGCAUGAUUAUUUCUAAUUAAAAAUAAAGUCUGAAAAUGAAAAAUUUUAAUGUUUUAAAAAAU